rnacentral:piRNA from 1 species
AAACGUUCUCAAGAACACAGACAGGUUGAAGA